GACGCUGAGGCGCGAAAGUGUGGGGAGCAAACAGGAUUAGAUACCCUGGUAGUCCACACUGUAAACGAUGAAUGCUAGGUGUAGGGGGUAUCGACCCCUUCUGUGCCGCAGUAAACACAAUAAGCAUUCCGCCUGGGGAGUACGGCCGCAAGGUUGAAACUCAAAGGAAUUGACGGGGGCCCGCACAAGCAGCGGAGCAUGUGGUUUAAUUCGACGCAACGCGAAGAACCUUACCAGGUCUUGACAUCCAGUAAAAGCCAUAGAGAUAUGGUGUGUCUUCGGACAUACUGAGACAGGUGGUGCAUGGUUGUCGUCAGCUCGUGUCGUGAGAUGUUGGGUUAAGUCCCGCAACGAGCGCAACCCUUGCUGAUAGUUACUAACAGGUAAAGCUGAGGACUCUAUUAGGACUGCCGGGGACAACUCGGAGGAAGGUGGGGACGACGUCAAAUCAUCAUGCCCCUUAUGACCUGGGCUACACACGUGCUACAAUGGCCGUUACAAAGAGGUGCAAAGCCGUAAGGUGGAGCAGAUCUCAAAAAAGCGGUCUCAGUUCGGAUUGUGGGCUGCAACCCGCCCACAUGAAGUCGGAGUGCUAGUAAU
rnacentral:rRNA from 1 species